UCCAGACUCCUACGGGAGGCAGCAGUGGGGAAUAUUGCACAAUGGGGGAAACCCUGAUGCAGCGACGCCGCGUGAGUGAAGAAGUAUUUCGGUAUGUAAAGCUCUCUCAGCAGGGAAGAAAAUGAUGGUACCUGAUUAAGAAGCCCCGGCUAACUACGUGCCAGCAGCCGCGGUAAUACGUAGGGGGCAAGCGUUAUCCGGAUUUACUGGGUGUAAAGGGAGCGUAGACGGCAGCACAAGUCUGGAGUGAAAUGCCGGGGCUUAACCCCGGAACUGCUUUGGAAACUGUGCAGCUAGAGUGCAGGAGAGGUAAGUGGAAUUCCUAGUGUAGCGGUGAAAUGCGUAGAUAUUAGGAGGAACACCAGUGGCGAAGGCGGUCUGCUGGACAGCAACUGACGCUGAGGCGCGAAAGCGUGGGGAGCAAACAGGAUUAGAUACCCCUGUAU
rnacentral:rRNA from 1 species